UCUAAGUCUAUAUGGUAGAUGAAUAAUAGGUGGCUGAUAAUAAUCAUAAUAAUGAUCCUCAAUUGGCUGAUUUCAUUGAGAGUUCAAUAUAUUAAGAAGAUAUCAGAGUAUGUGACACAACUGAGACUAGUUGGAAAGGGUCAUGAUACUCCAAAGUAGUAUUGCUGAAGUAAGUGGACGGUAGCUCGCUCGAGAUUAUCCAGAGAGUGUCCGUAUUUUAGUUUGAAGACUAGGUAAUGAGUCAAUGCUCUGGUCAUGUAACACGGGG